GUUGUUUAGUUGAAAAUCAAUUAAAUAAUUUUUGAUUUUGAGUAGUAUUGACUUCAUCAGCUUGCUGCUCUCUUUUCGGAAAUUAUUUAAUGCACUUUUCAGUUAACAAGUCAACAUCAAUUUCUUUUGUUGUAAAAGGGUAAGAGGAAGGUGGCUUACAUUUCGGUGUAAGUGUUUAUAGCCUUUUACCUCUGCAAUCGGAGAGAUUGAGGUCAGCAGCGUAGACUCUUCGGGGUUAGAUACGCUUGUGCUAAGCUAUAGCCUUGUAUAGACAACUUGUUGACUAUGCUCAGUCAUGUAGCUUACUCGCUUGUAGUAUUUUACCUAC
rnacentral:rRNA from 1 species